CCUCUUCUCAAAGCACUUGCUGUGUCUUCUCUGUGGCAUAGUGAGUUGUCGUGGAAGAGGAGAUAAAUACAUUACUUUUGGGUGAAGGGGCGGCCACAUGUGCUGUACUACUUCAAUCGGUAAUGUUACAAUG